GACGAACGCUGGCGGCGUGCCUAAUACAUGCAAGUAGAACGCUGAGGCGAGGAGCUUGCUCUUCUUGGAUGAGUUGCGAACGGGUGAGUAACGCGUAGGUAACCUGCCUUGUAGCGGGGGAUAACUAUUGGAAACGAUAGCUAAUACCGCAUAACAAUAGGUGACACAUGUCAUUUAUUUGAAAGGGGCAAUUGCUCCACUACAAGAUGGACCUGCGUUGUAUUAGCUAGUAGGUUAGGUAACGGCUCACCUAGGCGACGAUACAUAGCCGACCUGAGAGGGUGAUCGGCCACAACGGGACUGGGACACGGCCCAGACUCCUACGGGAGGCAGCAGGAGGGAAUCUUCGGCAAUGGGGGCAACCCUGACCGAGCAACGCCGCGGGAGGGAAGAAGGGUUUCGGAUCGUAAAGCUCUGUUGUAAGUCAAGAACGAGUGUGAGAGUGGAAAGUUCACACUGUGACGGUAGCUUACCAGAAAGGGACGGCUAACUACGUG
rnacentral:rRNA from 1 species